AACGAACGCUGGCGGCGUGCUUAACACAUGCAAGUCGAACGGAAAGGCCCUGCUUUUGUGGGGUGCUCGAGUGGCGAACGGGUGAGUAACACGUGAGUAACCUGCCCUUGACUUUGGGAUAACUUCAGGCAACUGGGGCUAAUACCGGCUAGGAGCUCCUGCUUCUUGGUGGGGGUUGGAAAGUUUCGGCGGUUGGGGAUGGACUCGCGGCUUAUCAGCUUGCUGGUUGGGUAGUGGCUUACCAAGGCUUUGACGGGUAGCCGGCCUGGGAGGGUGACCGGGCACAUUGGGACUGAGAUACGGCCCAGACUCCUACGGGAGGCAGGAGUGGGGAAGAUUGCACAAUGGGCGGAAGCCUGAGGCAGAAACGCCGCGUGCGGGAUGACGGCCUUCGGGUUGUAAACCGCAUUCGCCUGUGACGAAGCGUGAGUGACGGUAAUGGGUAAAGAAGCACCGGCUAACUACGUG
rnacentral:rRNA from 1 species